CAGUGUCGUUUCAUAGACACAUUCCCGUUGAGUCUUCCGGUGGAAGCAGGUUGUUGGUGCCACACUCAAGAAGUAUCAUUCAGGCUAAUCUGCUUAAAAUGACAGGAUAGUAGCGUUUUUUUGGGUGCCACCGCGUGCGAAAAUGAAGUCCUGCAGCAUUAUGUACUUCACAGCUCGAAUUCUGCCGAACUUGAGGUCUCUCUCUUAAGAGUUUUCGUGCCGUACCUACACCCUAAAGAUUCCAUCUGUUCGGGAAGCGGCUUCCGGAACGGUUGACAACAAAGAUGGCUCAUUGAUCCACUUCAGUUUCUGAUCUAAAUAGAGC